UUAUUAUUAUUAUUAUUUUUACUAAGGUUAUUUUUGGAAGGGCAUUGUCCUCUUUCCUUUGCUUCCUUUUGAUUUAUCUUUUCAUUAAUUUUUUUUUAUAUUUACUUAACAUCUAGGAUCAAUUUAUCGGAGUACCAGACAAGAUAACGUCCGACAACCAGUUUCAAAUCAACAAUUCAACAGAGAGAACAUCUUCAACUUCGACGGCACGCCACCAGGAUCGCCACCAGCUAGGAUCAGUUUAUCGGAGUACCAGACAAGAUAACGUCCGACAACCAGUUUUAAAUCAGCAAUUCCACAGAGAGAACAUCUUCAACUUCGACGACACGCCACCAGAAAUUCCACCAGCUAAGUGAAUUUUCCUCUUCUGUUAUCUUUCUUUUAUUGAUCUUUUUAUUUAUUUUUUUUAUAUUUACUUAUUGUGUUAUUAUUGUUAUUAUUAUUAUUAUUAUUAUUAUUAUUAUUAUUAUUAUUUUUAUUAUUUAUUAUUAUUAUUAUUAUUGUUAUUAUUAUUAUUGUUAUUUUUGUAAUUAUUAUUUUUAUUAUUGUUGUUAUUAUUAUUAUUAUUAUUAUUAUUAUUAUUAUUAUUAUUAUUAUUAUUUUUACUAUGGUUAUUUUUGGAAAGGCAUUGUCCUUUUCCCUUUGCUUCCUUUUGAUUUAUCUUUUCAUUAAUUUUUUUUAUAUUUACUUAACAACUAAGAUCAGUUUAUCGGAGUAUCAGAUAAGAUAACGACCGACAACCAGUUUCAAAUCAGCAAUUCAACAGAGAAAAACAUCUUCAACUUCGACGGCUCCACCAGUAUCGCCACCACCUAAGUGCAUUUUCCUCUUCCGUUUUCUUCCUUUCAUUGAUCUUUUUAUUUAUUUUUUUUAUAAUUACUUUUUGUGAUUGUGAUUAUGAUUACGAUUGUGAUUGUUAUUGUUAUUGUGAUUGUGUUUGUGUUUGUGUUUGUGUUUGUGUUUGUGUUUGUGAUUGUGUUUGUGUUUGUGUUUGUAUUUGUGUUUGUGAUUGUGUUUGUGAUUGCGUUUGUGAUUGUGAUUGUGAUUGUGUUUGUGUUUGUGUUUGUGUUUGUGUUUGUGUUUGGGUUUGGGUUUGGGAUUGGGAUUGGGAUUGGGAUUGGGAUUGGGAUUGGCAUUGGGAUUGUGUUUGUGUUUGUGUUUGUGAUUGUGUUUGUGUUUGUGUUUGUGUUUGUGAUUUUGAUUGCGUUUGUGAUUGCGUUUGUGUUUGUGUUUGUGUUUGUGUUUGGGUUUAGGUUUUGUGUUUGUGUUUGUGUUUGUGUUUGUGUUAGUGAUUGCGUUUGUGAUUGCGUUUGUGUUUGUGAUUGUGAUUGUGAUUGUGAUUGUGAUUGUGAUUGUGAUUGUGAUUGUGAUUGUGAUUGUGAUUGUGUUUGUGUUUGUGUUUGUGAUUGUCAUUGUGACCGUAAUUGUUAUUGUGAUUAUGAUUAAUUGUAAUUGUGAUUGUUAUUGUUAUUUUUUUAUCGUUAUUAAUAUUAUUAUUAUUAUUAUUAUUAUUAUUAUUAUUAUUAUUAUUAUUAUUAUUAUUUUUACUGUGGUUAUUUUUGGAAGGGCAUUGUCCUCUUCUCUUUGCUUCCUUUUGAUUUAUCUUUUCAUUAAUUUUUUUUAUAUUUACUUAACAACUAGGAUCAGUUGAUCGGAGUACCAGACAAGAUAACGACCGACAACCAGUUUCAAAUUAGCAAUUCAACAGAGAGAACAUCUUCAACUUCGACGGAUCUGUUUAUCGGAAUACUAGACAAGAUAACGUCCGACAACCAGUUUCAAAUGAGCAAUUCAACAGAGAGAACAUCUUCAACUCCGACGGCACGCCACCAGGAUCACCACCAGCUAAGUGAAUUUUCCUCUUCCGUUUUCUUCCUUUCAUUGAUUUUUUUAUUUAUUUUUUUUUUAUAUUUACUUAUUGUGUUAUUAUUAUUAUUAUUAUUAUUAUUAUUAUUAUUAUUAUUAUUAUUAUUAUUAUUAUUAUUAUUAUUAUUUAUUAUUAUUAUUAUUAUUAUUAUUAUUAUUAUUAUUAUUGUUAUUAUUGUAAUUAUUAUUUUUCUUAUUGUUGUUAUUAUUAUUAUUAUUAUUAUUAUUAUUAUUAUUAUUAUUAUUUUUACUAUUAUUUUUACUAUGGUUAUUUUUAGAAGGGCAUUGUCCUCCUCCCUUUGCUUCCUUUUGAUUUAUCUUUUCAUUAUUUUUUUUUAUAUUUACUUAACUAUGAUUAGUUUAUCGGAGUACAAGACAAGAUAACGUCCGACAACCAGUUUCAAAUCAGCAAUUCAAAAGAGAGUACAUCUUCAACUUCGACGGCACGCAACCAGAUCAGUUGAUCGGAGUACCAGAAAAGAUAACGACCGACAACUAGUUUCAAAUUAGCAAUUCAACAGAGAGAACAUCUUCAACUUCGACGGUACGCCACCAGGAUCGCCACUAGCUAAGUGCUUUUUCCUCUUCCGUUUUCUUCCUUUCAUUGAUCUUUUUAUUUAUUUUUUUUAUAUUAAUUAUUGUGUUAUUAUUGUUAUUAUUAUUGUUGUUAUUUUUAUUAUUAUUAUUAUUGUUAUUAUUAUUAUUAUUAUUAUUAUUAUUAUUAUUAUUAUUAUUAUUAUUAUUGUUAUUAUUGUAAUUAUUAUUUUUAUUAUUAUUAUUAUUAUUAUUAUUAUUAUUAUUAUUAUUAUUAUUAUUAUUAUUAUUAUUAUUAUUAUUAUUAUUUUUAUUAUUAUCAUUAUUAUUUUACUAUGGUUAUUUUUGGAAGGGCAUUGUCCUCUUCUCUUUACUUCGUUUUCAUUUAUCUUUUCAUUAAUUUUUUUUUAUAUUUACUUAACAACUAGGAUCUGUUUAUCGGAAUACCAGACAAGAUAACGUCCGACAACCAGUUUCAAAUGAGCAAUUCUACAGAGAGAACAUCUUCAACUUCGACGGCACGCCCCCAGGAUCGCCACCAGCUAAGUGAAUUUUCUUCUUCCGUUUUCUUCCUUUCAUUGAUCUUUUUAUUUAUUUUUUUUAUAUUUACUUAUUGUGUUAUUAUUAUUAUUAUUAUUAUUAUUAUUAUUAUUAUUAUUUUUAUUAUUAUUAUUAUUAUUAUUAUUAUUAUUUUUACUAUGGUUAUUUUUAGAAGGACAUUGUCCUCUUCACUUUGCUUCCUUUUGAUUUAUCUUUUCAUUAUUUUUUUUUUAAUAUUUACUUAACAACUAUGAUUAGUUUUUCGGAGUACUAGACAAGAUAACGUCCGACAACCAGUUUUAAAUCAGCAAUUGAACAGAGAGUACAUCUUCAACUUCGACGGCACGCCACCAGUAUCGCCACCAGCUAAGUGCAUUUUCCUCUUCCGUUUUCUUACUUUUAUUGAUGUUUUUGUUUAUUUUUUUUAUAAUUACUUUUUGUGAUUGUGAUUGUGAUUAUGAUUGUAAUUGUGUUUGUGUUUGUGUUUGUGUUUGUGACUGUGAUUGUGAUUUUGAUUGUGUUUGUGAUUGCGUUUAUGAUUGCGUUUGUGUUUGUGUUUGUGUUUGUGUUUGUGUUUGUGAUUGUGUUUGUGAUUGCGUUUGUGAUUGCGUUUGUGUUUGUGAUUGUUUUUGUGUUUGUGUUUGGGUUUGGGUUUGGGUUUGGGAUUGGGAUUGGGAUUGGGAUUGGGAUUGAGUUUUGGUUUGUGUUUGUGUUUGUGUUUGUGUUUGUGUUUGUGAUUGUGUUUGUGAUUGUGAUUGUGAUUGUGAUUGUGAUUGUGAUUGUGUUUGUGUUUGUGUUUGUGACUGUAAUUUGAUUGUGAUUGUGAUUGAUUGUAAUUGUGAUUGUUAUUAUUGUUGUUAUUAUUUUUAUUGUUAUUAAUAUUAUUAUUAUUAUUAUUAUUAUUAUUAUUAUUAUUAUUAUUAUUAUCAUUAGUAUUAUUAUUAUUUUUACUAUGGUUAUUUUUGGAAGGGCAUUGUCCUGUUCCCUUUGCUUCCUUUUGAUUUAUCUUUUCAUUAAUUUUUUUUAUAUUUACUAA